AUUGACGGGGGCCCGCACAAGCGGAGGAACAUGUGGUUUAAUUCGAUGAUACGCGAGGAACCUUACCCGGGCUUGAAUUGCAGAGGAAGGAUUUAGAGAUAAUGACGCCCUUCGGGGCCUCUGUGAAGGUGCUGCAUGGUUGUCGUCAGCUCGUGCCGUGAGGUGUCGGCUUAAGUGCCAUAACGAGCGCAACCCCUCUCUUCAGUUGCCAUCAGGUAAUGCUGGGCACUCUGGAGACACUGCCACCGUAA
rnacentral:rRNA from 1 species